ensembl:snoRNA
AAGAAAUGAAGAAGUUAAGGUUGGUCUUAGUGUUGAUGUGAGGACUGUCAGAUCCAACUCUGAUCUUGCACUAAAC